CCCAGACACCGGCGGGGCGGCCGAGGCUGCUGUGAGAGGGCGCUCGAGGCUGCCGAGAGCUAGCUAGCGAAGGAGGCGGGGAGGAGGCGUCUGCACUCGCUCGCCCGCUCGCUCGCUUCCCGGCGCCGCUGCGGGUCCGCGCGGCGUUUCCUGCUCGCGAUCCGCUCCGUUGCCCGCGCCCGGAACAGCAGCACCUCGGCCGGGUCCGAGCUCGGUUCGGGAGUCUUGCGCGCCGGCGGACACCGCGCGGGGAGUGAGCCAGCGCCACACCUGUGGAGCCGGCGGCCGUCGGGGGAGCCGGCCGGGGUCCCGCCGCGUGAGUGCUCUGGGCGGCGGGCGGCCCGGGCCCCGGCGGAGGCGCGCCCCCCGGCUGGGCGCCGCGCGCACCAUGGGGCUCCCAGCGCUCGAGUUCAGCGACUGCUGCCUCGAUAGUCCGCACUUCCGAGAGACGCUCAAGUCGCACGAAGCAGAGCUGGACAAGACCAACAAAUUCAUCAAGGAGCUCAUCAAGGACGGGAAGUCACUCAUAAUCGCGCUCAAGAAUUUGUCUUCAGCGAAGCGGAAGUUUGCAGAUUCCUUAAAUGAAUUUAAAUUUCAGUGCAUAGGAGAUGCAGAAACAGAUGAUGAGAUGUGUAUAGCAAGGUCUUUGCAGGAGUUUGCCACUGUCCUCAGGAAUCUUGAAGAUGAACGGAUACGGAUGAUUGAGAAUGCCAGCGAGGUGCUCAUCACUCCCUUGGAGAAGUUUCGAAAGGAACAGAUCGGGGCUGCCAAGGAAGCCAAAAAGAAGUAUGACAAAGAGACAGAAAAGUAUUGUGGCAUCUUAGAAAAACACUUGAAUUUGUCUUCCAAAAAGAAAGAAUCUCAGCUUCAGGAGGCAGACAGCCAAGUGGACCUGGUCCGGCAGCAUUUCUAUGAAGUAUCCCUGGAAUAUGUCUUCAAGGUGCAGGAAGUCCAAGAGAGAAAGAUGUUUGAGUUUGUGGAGCCUCUGCUGGCCUUCCUGCAAGGACUCUUCACUUUCUAUCACCAUGGUUACGAACUGGCCAAGGAUUUCGGGGACUUCAAGACACAGUUAACCAUUAGCAUACAGAACACAAGAAAUCGCUUUGAAGGCACUAGAUCAGAAGUGGAAUCACUGAUGAAAAAGAUGAAGGAGAAUCCCCUUGAGCACAAGACCAUCAGCCCCUACACCAUGGAGGGAUACCUCUACGUGCAGGAGAAACGUCACUUUGGAACUUCUUGGGUGAAGCACUACUGUACAUAUCAACGGGAUUCCAAACAAAUCACCAUGGUACCAUUUGACCAAAAGUCAGGAGGAAAAGGGGGAGAAGAUGAAUCAGUUACCCUCAAAUCCUGCACACGGCGGAAAACAGACUCCAUUGAGAAGAGGUUUUGCUUUGAUGUGGAAGCAGUAGACAGGCCAGGGGUUAUCACCAUGCAAGCUUUGUCGGAAGAGGACCGGAGGCUCUGGAUGGAAGCCAUGGAUGGCCGGGAACCUGUCUACAACUCGAACAAAGACAGCCAGAGUGAAGGGACUGCGCAGUUGGACAGCAUUGGCUUCAGCAUAAUCAGGAAAUGCAUCCAUGCUGUGGAAACCAGAGGGAUCAACGAGCAAGGGCUGUAUCGAAUUGUGGGGGUCAACUCCAGAGUGCAGAAGUUGCUGAGUGUCCUGAUGGACCCCAAGACUGCUUCUGAGACAGAAACAGAUAUCUGUGCUGAAUGGGAGAUAAAGACCAUCACUAGUGCUCUGAAGACCUACCUAAGAAUGCUUCCAGGACCACUCAUGAUGUACCAGUUUCAAAGAAGUUUCAUCAAAGCAGCAAAACUGGAGAACCAGGAGUCUCGGGUCUCUGAAAUCCACAGCCUUGUUCAUCGGCUCCCAGAGAAAAAUCGGCAGAUGUUACAGCUGCUCAUGAACCACUUGGCAAAUGUUGCUAACAACCACAAGCAGAAUUUGAUGACGGUGGCAAACCUUGGUGUGGUGUUUGGACCCACUCUGCUGAGGCCUCAGGAAGAAACAGUAGCAGCCAUCAUGGACAUCAAAUUUCAGAACAUUGUCAUUGAGAUCCUAAUAGAAAACCACGAAAAGAUAUUUAACACCGUGCCCGAUAUGCCUCUCACCAAUGCCCAGCUGCACCUGUCUCGGAAGAAGAGCAGUGACUCCAAGCCCCCGUCCUGCAGCGAGAGGCCCCUGACGCUCUUCCACACCAUUCAGUCAACAGAGAAACAGGAACAAAGGAACAGCAUCAUCAACUCCAGUUUGGAAUCUGUCUCAUCAAAUCCAAACAGCAUCCUUAAUUCCAGCAGCAGCUUACAGCCCAACAUGAACUCCAGUGACCCAGACCUGGCUGUGGUCAAACCCACCCGGCCCAACUCACUCCCCCCGAAUCCAAGCCCAACUUCACCCCUCUCGCCAUCUUGGCCCAUGUUCUCGGCGCCAUCCAGCCCUAUGCCCACCUCAUCCACGUCCAGCGACUCAUCCCCCAUCAGGUCUGUUGCAGGGUUUGUUUGGUUUUCUGUUGCUGCCGUUGUUCUCUCAUUGGCUUGGUCCUCUCUUCAUGCAGUGUUCAGCCUCCUCGUCAACUUUGUUCCCUGCCAUCCAAACCUGCACUUGCUUUUUGACAGGCCAGAAGAAGCGGUACAUGAAGACUCCAGGCACUUACACAUCUAUCAUUUCAUUCUAUGCUCGUGUGAGAAUGAGAAGAGAAAUGGCCUGAACCCUAUUGUGGAAAAAGAAAACCAAAGCACAGGGAGGUGACUUGGACACAAUGCCAUGACCAAAUGAGAGCCAAUCCAGAAUUCAGGACUUCUCCCCCUCAGCUCAGCACUCUUUCCUCCAAACACCACACCGUUCCGGAAGGCAAAAGCCUUGUAUGCCUGCAAAGCUGAACAUGACUCAGAACUUUCGUUCACAGCAGGCACGGUCUUCGAUAAUGUUCACCCAUCUCAGGAGCCUGGCUGGUUGGAGGGGACUCUGAACGGAAAGACUGGCCUCAUCCCUGAGAAUUACGUGGAGUUCCUCUAACCGUGGGCCCCAGCAGAACUGCUGAGCUUUACAUGGUAUCCAUGACAACUGCUGAUUCCAGUGUUGAGGCCAUUUCUCUUUGCCACUGAGAAAUGCAGCGUGACUGACUCUGUUGCUACCUGUCAACAUGAAUGUUUCUGUGAGCUCUGGUGUCACUCAUCUCCAUGAUCAUCUCAGCCAACAUGCAUCAGUACUGCAAGAAAAGAAGUCAAUCAGCAGAGGAGACCAUUUGAUAACUAAGAGGAAGACUUGCAAAGCCGUUUUCUCAUGAGUACCCUGAAUAGGGGCACUCAUUUUGUUUCAACGGUCCAAACGCCCAACCUUCAGAAAGAGGAAGUCAGAUAGAAAUAGUCCCUGAGAGCACACUGUGUAGCUAAGCCUGCUGGGGCUGGGUGAAGAAAUUGGCGCUGAGAUCCAGGCUGGAUCCAUUGCUUUUGUUUACAAUAGGCACUCUCUCUACCCCACCUCUCAGUACUUGAGACUUAAAGUGCUACAGGCAGCUGGAUCUGUUUGCAUGCAGGAUGAAGAGGGUUAAAACACUGUUUAUAUAAGAUCCAAUCUCUCACCAUCUCUAAAGCAGCCGUUGGCCUGUCAUCAACGAGAUACAAUCCAGUCUUCUCAUGCACGGGAACACACACACCCUGCGUUUCUCCCUCCCAGGCUAGGAACCUCUCUGCCACCAAGGACUGCCAUCCAUCGCCUAGUAACCACGGCAACCCAACCUACUCUAAAACCAAACCAAAAAAAUAAAAUAACACAUCCUCUUUGCAUGACACAUUUUUUUCUCUCCCCUUUUUGGUACACUUCUUUUGAAUGGUUUUCUAACAACUUGAAGCACAGGAUCAAGGAAUUAGGGUGGUCUACUUGAGGCAGAUGGGAUAGUAGCUGGGAACUGUUCCCUUUCUGAUGAAUUUCAGCAGCAUCGGGAUAUAUUUGGAGCACACCCUAGUAACCUCUUGAGAUUAAAUUACAUAGUCUUAAUAUUUCUGUUCCUCCAUGCAACUGAUGUUUGUUUUUUAAAGGGUAAGAUGCUGCCUCCCAAUGGGUGAUGCCAUCUGACUGGUUUCCCCAUGUCCUCCCAUUCACCCAUCUCUGCUCCCACCCUUGCCUGCCUCUAACCCACCACUGGCCAGCCCCCUUGCCCUACUCUGGGCUGCUGAACACUGGCGCUGUGGUGGUUUUCAAGGUUAAUUCCUAGGCUAACCGUAUGGCCUAUAGUUUAAAAGGACAUCUAUGUUCACUGCCACUCUGAAAAAGGGAAUUCUUUCUCAGUCUUUCAAGGCUUGAGACUAAUAUAGGCCAUUGUGAUUCAGGAAGAAACCCAAGGUUGGAGGGUGGGAUGAGUACCCUCUGAAAAAGGGAAUUUGCUGGUGAAAAGAGGCUGGAUCUUGUGGAAGACUGUCUUGGAUGGGGAAGUACUACCUGGAGAUUUCAAAUUCACUUGGCCUGCAAACAACAGAGUUAUCCGUAUCUUCCACAUGUGAAUGUCAUUGCAAGGGUGACUCUAGACAAACUACAAACCGAUGGACCGUCAAGCUCCCCAGGAGCCCCUUGGAUGGCAGCGUUGCUUCAGAGUGUUUCCUGUUUCUGGAAUUCCUUGUUAGGGAACUUUAAAGAAGAAAAGAAAAACUUGAAUUGUGUUGAAUUACUGUAUCUUUUACUUUUUUUUUUUUUUUGAAAAGAUAAACUUGUAAAUAGAGUGAUUUGAAAUACUAUAUGGCAAAGUUUUAUAUUUGAUAUUCUUUAAGCUAGUUGCUCACACACUUAGGCUUCGAAUGCUGAAGAAGUAUGUUUAAGAGGGAGAGAGGGGAGGCAAAGCUAAAGAGAGUCAAGGUCACUGUCCCCCCUUCGGCCUGAAGGAAAGAGAAGACAUUUCUAUGGCCUUGCUCUCUGCUGUCCUGUUGGUGGGCACGACACAUCAGUGGUGUUCAGUCUUUAUGUGUUUUUAAGCAUCCCUUGGGCUUUGGAUUUGGAGAUGGGAAGAGCAUCUCCAGGCAAUGAGUUUUUCAAAGAAUGCCUACUUAGUAGUAAGAUGAAGCUCAGGAUUUAAAUAAGUGGGGUCAGGCAUUCGAGUUUUUGUCUUUCUUCUCAGGUGUAUUUCUUGGUACCCCCAAGAUAUCAGGCCAGAAAGAGAUGAGUCAGUUGCUGUGCUCUUUACUUCUUUUUCUCCACAUCUUCUGAGGCUUUAGAAAUGUGGACAAGCUAGUUUUCAAAUUUUGUGUGCGUCUGUAAGUUCUUAAAGAACCAGCUUCUUAGAAUGUUCAGUUCUCAAUGUGGUGCUGCUUUCCCUUCUCCUAAACAUUUUAAAACUCUUCCCUUUCACCUCCAAUUCCCGUGAUCCCAAAAGAAGAGGAAGACUCCAGGAGGGGUAUAGAUUGUGCCAUCAUAGCUUUACAGGUGGUUUUAAAGUUAACAGGGGUUUGUCAUGGUGAUUCACUACUCAGUUUAUCAGCUCAAGGAUUAUACAGCUCUUUUCCAGGAACUCACCCAGGAGCAAGCGAGACACUACCAUUGAAUCAGGGAAUAAGAAUUAAGAAUGGACAGGACCAAGACAGAACUCAAGAAAGCCAUUGGGGAAAACUCGAGAAGAAAGGGAGUAUACUAGUAGGUUAGAUCUGUGAACUUGAGGACAAGAAGACCUUGGGAAAUGGGGGCCUCAGGGGAUGUGCAUUCACAUACUAUUGUGCUUCCCAAAGAGAGACCAACAUCAUGUUUUUAACACAUUUGAUGAGGUUUUUUAUUUGUGUUUUUGUUUGUUUUUUGAGAUGGAGUCUCACUCUGUGGCCCAGGCUGGAGUGCAGUGGCGCAAUCUUGGCUCACUGCAACCUCCACCUCCCAGGUUCAAGUGAUUCUCCUGUCUCAGCCUCCCAAGUAGCUGGGACUACAGGCAUGAGCCAUCACACCCAGCUAGUUUUUUGUAUUUUUAGUAAAGAUGGGGUUUUGCCAUGUUUGCCAGGCUGAUCUCGAACUCCUGACCUCAAGUGAUCUGCCCACUUCAGACCCCCAAAGUGCUGGGAUUCCAGGUGUGAGCUGCUGCGGCCGACCACAUUUGAUGUUUGAAGUUGUGAUCUGUCCCAUCAUAAACUUACCUGGAGCUCAUGUGGAGGAACAGAAGGCCAAGAUCCUUGCUUUGGGGGUGCCUCACGAAGCAUCCCUGUAGACACUUGGCCCCAGCUUCACUGCUUGGAAGCAUGUCCCUCCCUCUUGAGUUGGCUCUGAUUUGAAACCGGGAGAAACAGAGCUGCUGCCAAUGGGAUCUUUUAGGUAACUCCCUCCCCAGCUUCCGUGUGUCUGUGCAGUGCCCAUGAGCUGCUGCCAAUGGGAUCUUUCAGGUACCCCCUCCCCAGCUUCCCUGUGGCUGUGCGGUGCCCUUGACAGAUGGCUGCUCUGUUUCCCUUUGCCCAGCCAGGCUCCCCUCCUUCCUAUUAGCUACAAAACUGGAUAAACUUCAGAAUAUGAGCCAAUGAGUAGGAAGGAACUUGAAGACUAAAGAUUUUACUCUCUCCCCUAUCCAUGCCCCCUACCUCUGACUCUCUCUGUGUGAACAGGAAACUUUAGGGUAGAUGAGGAGAAUGAAUUGGUUAUCAGAGUGGAAGACCAUGGCCCAGGAUCCCUGAGCUUUCCCAGUAGCCUCCAGUUUCCUUUGUAAGACCCAGGGAUCAUUUAGCCAUAGCCUGAAUCUUUUAGGGGUAUUAAGGUCAGCCUCUCACUCUUCCUUCAGGUUACUAACAAAAUUUCGUAGCUAAAGAAUGCCAUGGCCAGGUGCAGUGGCUCACGCCUAUAAUCCCAGCACUUUGGGAGGCCGAGGCGGGCGGAUCACGAGGUCAGGAGAUUGAGACCAUCCUGGCUACGACGGUGAAACCCCGUCUUUACUAAAAAUACAAAAAAUUAGCCGGGCGUGGUGGCGGGCGCCUGUAGUCCCAGCUACUCUGGAGGCUGAGGCAGGAGAAUGGCAUGAACCCAGGAGGCAGAGAUUGCAGUGAGCCAAGAUCACGCCACUGCACUCCAGCCUGGGUGACAGAGCCAGACUCCGUCUCAAAGGAAAAAAAAAAAAAAAGAAUGCCAUGCCAGGAGAAGACAGCUGGUUUCAAAUCCCUGCCCCCAGGCAAGUAAAACCCUGACUUGCUCAAGACAGAAGAUCUUUUCUCCUGUUUUUCAAAAUAAACAUAUAUAGGGAUGGACCCUGUGCAUUGUGGCCUGCCUUGGUGUCCUAGAAUUGGAGCCAGUCUUUAGCUUAAUGUCUGAAGUAUUUAUACGGCCAAUAUGUGUUUUCUUAUGUCAGACCAAACUGUCUUUUUGAAUAUCAGUUCAUUUCCUCUCACCGAGUGCUUUUCGGUGAGAGGCAAAGAGAGAGAAUGAACAGUCAAGUAUUGACAGACUGGCAUUAGCAGGACAGAGUCAUACUAGUGACAAGGGCAUCCCAAGGCACUUGCCCAGAGCUACAGAGUUGUGUGUGCCAUACCUGCGGCUCAAAGGGAAGGCCUUCUAGCCCCUGAGUUUCUAUCACCUGAAAAUGGCAACUGCUGUCUCAGUAAAAGCUCUGUCUUGCUUACAGAGGCUCCAAAAGCAUUCACAGUUGAGGGGGAGAAAGAAAGAAGAAGCCAAAGAUAACCUGAUCCCUGCCUGUCUGUUGGCACCUGUCAUCCUCUGGCUUCUGCUCCCAAAAGCAAGUCUGGAUGGCUGAGUUUUGUGGACAUGGCACUCCCGGAGACAGCAGUGGCCACCAUGGCACCCAGAGUUUGCCCAAGUACUGAAUGUUUUGUGAGCAACCAUGUUCCCCAAGUAGGUAGCCAGCACUGCAGAAACCAAACAGCCUCUUAGCUACCUGACUUUAAAAGGAAUGACCUAGGUGUUCUGCCAAAGGAGUUAUCUGUCAUCUCUGGCAAACUUGACAAUCAUCACUUACCUCAACAACCCUGCCCCACAUCCCUUUAUAAAGUCAGCAGGAUGUCCUCUCACCCAGCCUGUGCUGGUGUCUAACAAAUUUAUCUUGUCACGUUCAAAUGUGUUUGGCAGCCACACCGAUCGGCUGGGUGCUGAACCGCCUCUCUGUAAUUGUAGCAUCAAAAUGACAACAGCAGCAGAGCAGCGAAUCUUGCACAGCCCCACAGCAUGCCUGAGACAAGACUCCAACAAGUAAUAAUUAACUUUUUUUCUCCUGCCGCCUACAGUACCUGUCUAACUAAAGAGCUUCCCAAAGUGGAGGGAAAGGCCAUAGAAUCCAGGUGUCAUUCAGAGCCAGUCCUUGCUGAAAUGUGGUCUUCCAGUGGAAGCACCUGUAUUAUUGAGAGGAAAAAGUGUUGGAUGCAAAGUAACACCAGGACUAGAGAGAAAGAGAAAGGUGAACCAUCCUAAGGAGCUUUGGAUACUUUUUUAGAAGGAUAAAUAUUGUGUUUACUGAGGAGAAAAAAAAAAAAGCGAUCACAGAAAAAUUUCACAGCUAAUAUUUUUACAAAAGUUGUGCCAGACAUUACAGAGUGAAAACGCCUCUCAAGGUGGAAUGCUUUAGAGAGCAAAGCAUAGAUCUAGACCCUUGUGUGGGUAUGACAUGACAUGACAUGUCCAUGUCAAAAUUCACUUUAGUCAGAACCAGAGUAUUGAUAAACAAAAUGUCAGUUACCUGGAGCAGUCCUGGAGAGGUUAAGACAUUCUAUACUGUUCUACAUCAACCAUGUCUACAAAGUUGUCCAGACACCUAAAAGCAGCUUUCUUGGUUAUCCAGAUGCCAGAAUCAACCUUGUAUCUGACAAUGCACAUCUGUUGGUUCUAAAGUAUAUUUAUGUGUGUGUGUAUGUGUGUGUAUACAGCACAUAUUUACAUCUAUGAAGACACAGACACUUAUAGAGACCCACAUGAGCUGGCACUUUCUGAGCCUUUACAGCCUUUAAGACUCGGAGGUCGAGAAUUAGAGACACAAGAGAGGCUCUGGAUGGCCUAUUAAAAUGAUUAAAGAUGUAAAUUCAGUGCCAUGUUAAAACUGUUCGUAUUUAUCAAACAAUUACUGUCUACAGCUACAUUUUUUGUUAACUUACUUAAAGUCAUGUCGCAAAAAAGAUCAAACCCAUGAAUGCUUAGUAGCUAAGGCUAGUGUUCAAAAGCACUCUAAAAGACAUUUUGUCCACAUUUUGGAAAAGAAAAUAUUUGCAUGUUUAAUUCAUAAUUUAGGCUAUCUUUGAGUAUACUGUAAAGUGCUGUGUGAUAUAAUAUCAAUAAAGUACUUAUUAAAUGGCACUUUAAUGUUUUCUUUUAAAAUAACGCACUGUUCUAAACUUCAGUAUUGACUAUUGACUCGUGCAUAGAAUCCAAUGCUGUAAUUAGAAAGUAAUCUGUGACUAGAAUAGACCUUUGUCCCUGUUAGUAGCCCUGUUGCCAUGUUCAGGCUUUUAAAAAAUGCUUUUGUGUCACAAAAUAUAUCUAUAAAGAAAACAAAAUUUCUGUUCAGAGGCCUCUGAAACUUGGCUUUCUUACAUGUGGUUGGUUUAUGUGACAAUCCCUAUGAAAUGAGUGGACGUAUGGUUUUUGAAUUAAAUGACUUUUCCAUUUGGUGGUA